rnacentral:tRNA from 1 species
GGCGAGAUGGCCGAGCGGUCUAAGGCGCCAGACUAAGGAUCAGCCAGCAUUUGCAGGCAAAUCUGAUUCUCCAUUGAAUCAUCUGGUCUUUCGGGGCGUGGGUUCGAAUCCCACUCUCGUCA